UACGUAGGCAGCAAGCGUUGUUCGGAGUUACUGGGCGUAAAGAGUGCGUAGGCGGUCUUUUAAGUUUGGUGUGAAAUCUCCCGGCUCAACUGGGAGGGUGCGCCGAAAACUGGGAGGCUUGAGGAUGGGAGAGGCAUGCGGAAUUCCUGGUGUAGCGGUGAAAUGCGUAGAUAUCAGGAGGAACACCUGUGGUGUAGACAGCUUACUGGACCAUUUCUGACGCUGAGACACGAAAGCGUGGGUAGCAAACAGG
rnacentral:rRNA from 1 species